rnacentral:lncRNA from 1 species
UGUCUGUGUGUGUUUGUGUGUGUGUCAGUGCGUAUGUACAUGCGUAUACGGAUAAAUAUAGUUGAAAAAAAUCCAAACGGAGAUCCUUAGUGACAUAAUUCACGAUAAUGCGUCCUUUAUUUUUGCUGUUGAUAAUGUGUUGUCUGCUGGAUAUCUGUCUUGCAAGCCCGUUCCAUUAUCACAUUGCAAGGAGAAGAUAUAAGAUCCCUUAUUAUGUGUAUUAUUAUAAGCCAAGUUACCGGUUCGUGCCGCGUCGUCGUGUAUCAGAUCGCCGGAGGCCAUAUGUUUUCGAUGACUUUCUCGGAGGCAGAUGAUGAGCCGGGACGAAGGGGCGGAGCUUCACUUAGCUGCGGUUGUUGUUUUAG